GAUGAACGCUGGCGGCGUGCCUAAUACAUGCAAGUCGAGCGAACAGACGAGGAGCUUGCUCCUCUGACGUUAGCGGCGGACGGGUGAGUAACACGUGGAUAACCUACCUAUAAGACUGGGAUAACUUCGGGAAACCGGAGCUAAUACCGGAUAAUAUAUUGAACCGCAUUGUUCAAUAGUGAAAGACGGUUUUGCUGUCACUUAUAGAUGGAUCCGCGCCGCAUUAGCUAGUUGGUAAGGUAACGGCUUACCAAGGCGACGAUGCGUAGCCGACCUGAUAGGGUGAUCGGACACACUGGAACUGAGACACGGUCCAGACUCCUACGGGAGGCAGCAGUAGGGAAUCUUCCGCAAAGGGCGAAAGCCUGACGGAGCAACGCCGCGUGAGUGAUGAAGGUCUUCGGAUCGUAAAACUCUGUUAUUAGGGAAGAACAAAUGUGUAAGUAACUAUGCACGUCUUGACGGUACCUAAUCAGAAAGCCACGGCUAACUACGUG
rnacentral:rRNA from 1 species